rnacentral:rRNA from 1 species
AGAACGAACGCUGGCGGCAUGCCUAAUACAUGCAAGUCGAACGAACUCUUCGGAGUUAGUGGCGCACGGGUGCGUAACGCGUGGGAAUCUGCCCCUUGGUUCGGAAUAACAGUUGGAAACGACUGCUAAUACCGGAUGAUGACGAAAGUCCAAAGAUUUAUCGCCAAGGGAUGAGCCCGCGUAGGAUUAGCUAGUUGGUGAGGUAAAGGCUCACCAAGGCAACGAUCC